AACGAACGCUGGCGGCAUGCCUAACACAUGCAAGUCGAACGAGACCUUCGGGUCUAGUGGCGCACGGGUGCGUAACGCGUGGGACCCUGCCCUUAGGUUCGGAAUAACUCCCCGAAAGGGGUGCUAAUACCGGAUAAUGUCUUCGGACCAAAGAUUUAUCGCCUUUGGAUGGGCCCGCGUUGGAUUAGCUAGUUGGUAGGGUAAAAGCCUACCAAGGCGACGAUCCAUAGCUGGUCUGAGAGGAUGAUCAGCCACACUGGGACUGAGACACGGCCCAGACUCCUACGGGAGGCAGCAGUGGGGAAUAUUGGACAAUGGGCGAAAGCCUGAUCCAGCAAUGCCGCGUGAGUGAUGAAGGCCUUAGGGUUGUAAAGCUCUUUUACCCGGGAUGAUAAUGACAGUACCGGGAGAAUAAGCUCCGGCUAACUCCGU
rnacentral:rRNA from 1 species